CCUACGGGAGGCAGCAGUAGGGAAUAUUGCUCAAUGGGGGAAACUCUGAAGCAGCAAUGCCGCGUGGAGGAUGAAGGUUUUCGGAUUGUAAACUCCUUUUGUUAGAGAAGAUAAUGACGGUAUCUAACGAAUAAGCACCGGCUAACUCCGCUCCAGCAGCCGCGGUAAUACGGAGGGUGCAAGCGUUACUCGGAAUCACUGGGCGUAAAGAGCGCGUAGGCGGGAUAGCAAGUCAGAUGUGAAAUCCUAUGGCUUAACCAUAGAACUGCAUUUGAAACUGUUAUUCUAGAGUAUGGGAGAGGUAGGUGGAAUUCGUGGUGUAGGGGUAAAAUCCGUAGAGAUCAAGAGGAAUACUCAUUGCGAAGGCGACCAGCUAGAACAUAACUGACGCUGAUGCGCGAAAGCGUGGGGAGCAAACAGGAUUAGAUACCCCAGUAGUC
rnacentral:rRNA from 1 species